GACGAACGCUGGCGGCGUGCCUAACACAUGCAAGUCGAACGGAGAUACGAUUUCGGUUGUAUCUUAGUGGCGAACGGGUGAGUAACGCGUGAGCAACCUGACCUUCAGAGGGGGAUAACAUUUGGAAACAGAUGCUAAUACCGCAUAAGACCACGACUCGAAAUCGGGACGAGGUCAAAGGAGGAAUCCGCUGAAGGAGGGGCUCGCGUCUCAUUAGAUAGAUGGCGGGGUAACGGACCGCCAUGUGCACGAUGGGUAGCCGAGCUGAGAGGCUGAUCGGCCACACUGGAACUGAGACACGGUCCAGACUCCUACGGGGGGCAGCAGUGGGGAAUAUUGGGCAAUGGGCGCAAGCCUGACCCAGCAACGCCGCGUGAGGGAGGAAGGCUUUCGGGUUGUAAACCUCUGUCCUUGGUGACGAAACAAAUGACGGUAGCCAAGGAGGAAGCCCCGGCUAACUACGUGCCAGCAGCCGCCGUAA
rnacentral:rRNA from 1 species